GAUGAACGCUGGCGGCGUGCCUAAUACAUGCAAGUCGAGCGAAUGGAUUGAGAGCUUGCUCUUAUGAAGUUAGCGGCGGACGGGUGAGUAACACGUGGGUAACCUGCCCAUAAGACUGGGAUAACUCCGGGAAACCGGGGCUAAUACCGGAUAACAUUUUGAACCGCAUGGUUCGAAAUUGAAAGGCGGCUUUGGCUGUCACUUAUGGAUGGACCCGCGUCGCAUUAGCUAGUUGGUGAGGUAACGGCUCACCAAGGCAACGAUGCGUAGCCGACCUGAGAGGGUGAUCGGCCACACUGGGACUGAGACACGGCCCAGACUCCUACGGGAGGCAGCAGUAGGGAAUCUUCCGCAAUGGACGAAAGUCUGACGGAGCAACGCCGCGUGAGUGAUGAAGGCUUUCGGGUCGUAAGACUCUGUUGUUAGGGAAGAACAAGUGCUAGUUGAAUAAGCUGGCACCUUGACGGUACCUAACCAGAAAGCCACGGCUAACUACGUGCCAGCCGCCGCAGUAA
rnacentral:rRNA from 1 species